CUUUCGUGUUUCUCUCUGCGAUUUCUAUAGUUCAUCGUAAUGGAAUCAACUACCAUGAAGACUAUUAAGAUGAGAAUGAUCUCAUAAGAUACACAUGUUGGAUAGUAGAAGGACUUGAUAUGCACAUGAGGUAGGGUGUCGUAACGCAAGGGGGUACACCAAAGACGCUUUGUUCUUGGGAUAUGGAUAUGACGAUAUGGUUAUUCAUGGCAAAGGCUGAAGUGAGCAAGAUUGCUAAUAGGGGGACUGGUUUUGCUUGGGAGUGUACCUGCACACUAAUAAGACAAAACAAUAUUUUCCUUGGGGUUGUUACACCGCCAAGCAAGUUGGUACCCCCAUUAGCAGCGUUGGAAGUGAGGAAGUGAUUAUAUCCUAGUGAAUCUCAAAUAGGACGUUAUAAUUGAACUUUUACUGAAAUGAAAUUUGGGAACAAUUCUUAAAACUUGAUGGCAAACAUAUUUCUCA